rnacentral:lncRNA from 1 species
ACUUUAUAUAAUUAAUAUAUAUAUAAUAUAUAAUUAUAUAUAGAGAGAGUUCAGCUACUAUACUCCUAUAAGUAUAGACCCCUUUAUACUCAUAAGUUUUCGAUCGUUAGAUCUAUACUUUUGACCAUUUCCAAUCUAUAAAUCAUACUAUUCAACCAACCAUCCACUAAAUCUUAGAGGACCACUAUCAUCCUAAUUGCACAUCCAACGGUCAAAAAUUUAUAAGUAUAAAGAGAUUUAUACUCAUAAGAGUAUAGUAGCUCUAGCCUAUAUAUAUGCAGAAUUAGGUUACUAUACUAUUAAUAGUACCAACUGUUUGCUAUUAGAUUUUCAACCCUUAGAUGAAGGAAUAUGUGGUCAGGAUGAUAGUAGCUCCCUAGGGUUGAGGAGGUGGGUAGUUGAAUAGUAUGAUCUAACGGAUGAAAAUGGCCAAAGGGAUAGAUCUAACGGCAGAAAACUCAAUAGCACUAAACGCUUGGUACUAUCGAUAGUAUAGUAGCCGAACUCUAUAUAUAGGUAGAUCUAACGGCAGAAAACUCGAUAGUACAAAACAAUUGGUACUGUAGAUAGUAUAAUAGCCGGACUAUAUAUAUGUAGAGAGAGAGAGAGUUCAGCUACUAUAUUAUCGAUAGUACCAAAUGCUUAGUGUUGUCGAAUUUUAUGCCGUUAGAUCUACCACUUUGACCAUUUUCAGUUGAUAAAUC